rnacentral:lncRNA from 1 species
UUCCACUGGGCCAGUGGGGCCCAGCUCUGUGAGGGGCACAGGGUCUCUUCUCCACCACCCCUGGGGUUAGGGACAAGGAGGACACAGUGGUGACCCAGAGGUGAAGGAGGAGGAAGGGUGGUCACCAGGCGCACUGAGCACCCUCCCCAUGGCGCUGCACACCAGGCUGGCCCAGUGCUGUGGAGCAAAGUGACCCAGGACGGUCCCUGCCCCGGGCAGUGGUGCCUCCCCUCUCACCCCGAGGGCAGGAGCUGCAUUGAUCUUCCCUGAGCUGGAGUGGCUCAGGCUGGAAAUCACUCAUAGGCAGCCAGUUGGCCAGGACAAAGGGCUUUUUCUGUGCCAGUGGUCUGUCAGGAUGAUUCUUCAUGGGGAGCCCAAGACUUGCGCCCUUUCCCACUGCCUGCCUCAGUGCCAGCUGCAGGAAGGCUGGGCUGUGUCCCCAGAUCGGGGACUGGGCAGGUACCAGGAGACCUGCUGCUUGGGCUGAGCCCUGGGCUGGGCCCGUGAGCCCUGGCCUGGGCACUUGGCUGAUGCUCUGCAACCCCUGGGUUGUGGCAGGGCCCACAGGGGCAGGUGCAGGCCAGGUGUCACUGGCCCCACACCAGGCUAUACCACACCUGGCCUGGCCCAUGGCUUCCAUGCUUGGAUUCUGAAGGCUCGCCUACAGGUUAGCACAGCGACUUCCCCUGAGAGCCCAGAAGAAUGGCAGAUGGUUCCAGUGACAAGCCAGGAGUCACCAGCCCCUGGGCCUCACGGCCCUGCAUCUCAGCCACAGACUUGGAGACUCCCUGAUGUCCACGGCAGAGCUGGCUGGGGACGAUGGAGUGAAGAAGCCAGGCUUUGGCUCUGGGGGAGGCCUGGUGAGGAGUCUGGGUAUGUGGGGGUGCAGGGGCAAUGGCCUCCCCAGGCUCCAGCAAGGAUGCAGGCAGACAGGCCCUGGGCACCUUCAGGACUCACUCUCCCUGACGCCUGGUGGCCUGGGUUGGAGUCGCAGUACUGCUGCAUGAUCUUGGACAGGUUGCUUAACCUGCCUCACCCAUUUCCUCCCUGCAGAGCAGGGAGGAAAGCACCCACCAUCGGGGGUGCUUGGGCCUCGAGUGAUCAUGUGGGUCCACCACGCCUGGGCCAGUGUCUGCAGAGCCCUGCAGGGGAGCAGUGGGCACUGUUGACCUGGCCUUGGUCAGGGGCUGAGGAUUUAGCAAGCUCUGACCACAGGUCCUGCCCCCAGAGUGGACGGGGCUCCUGUGGACAGGAGCAGCCCCAGGGGCCCCAGGGUAGAAGGGCUGGGGACACCAUGCAGGGAGGUGGGAGACAGGAGAGGCUGGGAGGCUGCAGGAGCUGUGCCAUGGGAGCUGCUGCCUGUGUUGGGUCUGGCAGCCCAGGGGGUCCUGAGGGUUCUUCUGCCCUAGAGCAGCCCUGGCCUGGGGGCGGGGCAUGGAAGCUGAGGGGCUGGAGCUGCUUCAGCCCCAUAUUCUUGCCCCCACCUCCGAGUCUCCAUCCUGUGGCUCAGCAGCUGCUGCUGAGCCUGUGCUGGGGGCGGCCUCAGUUGGGGGUGCUGAGGGCCCUCUCCCCUCUAAGAGGUUCAGCCACACAGAGCACCGUCCUGUGCACCUGCUGCUUCCUGGGAUGCCGGCACCGCGGGUCUCUCCACUGAGGCAAAGCGCUGGGGACAGCAGGGAGCCCCACGGGUCUGCUCUCCAAGGACCCUCCAGAGGUCCUCCUCUGUCGCUGUCCACUACCCUCCCCGGGGCGCACUCAGAGGUCGACGUGGAGGUGGAACCCGGCUGGACCCUGAGAGGCAGGGGCACCUGGGCCUUCCCUCCCCAGGCAGGCGGCAGGGCCUGGGCUGUCACUGGAUGCUCCGGGUGGGCCAGCGGGGAGGUGGCCGACCAUCGGG